UGUAGAUACAAAUAUCUGGUUUAGGGAGGGGAAAAAUAUUUAAGGAACCAAUCAGAUGCUCAAAGUAACACCAAACCUAGUUCUGUUUGUAUUGUCAAUGCGGACUACUCGGACUACAUAGAUUGUAUCAGUUUGUUUUGUUAAAUAUGUAUGUUUGGAUAUAAUUUCAUUUUAUUAUGUUUGCAAGAAAAAAGAAAUUAUAGAAACCAAAUUUUUAAGUUGUUAUUGCUUUAAUACAUAUAAACGUAAAAAGUUAAACAUGUGAAUUAUAUACCAGCCUUUCAUAGCUCAAAAAUACUAUAUAUAUUUUUGCAUUGUUCAAGGCUUGACGAUGACCUAUGCCGGCUUACUUCGACUUUAUUUGAACUAUCAUGAUUAGUAUCCCUACGAAUAAUUAAACCAUAUCUCCUACUUUUAUAUGUACUUGAAAUAUGAACAUAAAAAUUGAAGGCGUCAUUAUUUUAAUUAGAUAAGCAAGUUCCUCUAUAUAUACACGUGAAUGUGGUCCAUGAUUCUGAUCUAUUAGGAAAUAAGCAAUUUAGUAUAACGAGCUGUUAAUCCAUUGUCACUAAACUAUGUUGUUAUUGUGCUUUUAUCGAAUUGUUGGUCUUUUCGUCCUUCUUUUUUCUAUGAUCUGUUUCAUUUGAGUAUUUUUUAUUGCCUCCCUCA
rnacentral:lncRNA from 1 species